rfam:Rattus norvegicus chromosome 7, whole genome shotgun sequence.
GGGGAUUUAGCUCAGUGGUAGAGCACUUGCCUAGCAAGCUCAAGUCCCUG